AACGCAAAUUGCGCCCAAGGCUUCGGCUGAGGGCAUGUCUGCCUCAGCGUCGGCUUACCCCUCGCCCUCCCAACCCUCGGUUGGGCAGGACGGAUCUGGCCUUCCCGGCUCCGUUUCGUUGAAUCGCCCGGGUCGGCUGAAGUGCAGAGGCUUGAGCAUGGACCCCGUUUGUAGGGCAAUGGCUUGGUAGGUGGCCUCGGCUACACAGCCUGCCGUUGUCCGAGGGGGCUUUGCUGGCGGCCCAGCAGGAAUUCGGACCGGGCUCAUGCCCUCCGAAAGAUUCAAACCUUCGACCUGAGCUCAGGCAAGACUACCCGCUGAACUUAA
rnacentral:misc_RNA from 1 species